AAUGUAUAUUUGCCUUUUAUUUCGUUCUAUUUUCACCAUCCGUUCAGUGCAAAAAUCUCUCUCACAUUUACUUUGGUUUCUGUUCUUUUUUAGAUGUGUGUGAUGCUGACGAAGGACAAGCGGAGGAGGAAGGCUUUGAACAUGUUGAUAACACAUUUCAAAAUGGUCCAGGAAUGAAGUCAAUGAACAAGAAACCAAAAGCCCAUCCAGUGAAAGGAGUGGUGGGACCGCAGAAGAGAAAAAAUCCUAAUCCAGCAGAAGGUCAGAAUCUAGCAAAAAAGAAGAGAAAGUCUCCAGCAUGUGUGGAUACAUCAUAUUUUCAUAAUUAUUUGUGUGCAGAUAACAUGCCUGUUCUAGCUCUAAUUCAACCCAAUGUGCAUUUUGUUAUGGUUCCUGCGGGUAACAUCACGGUUCAAACAUCUGGCAGGAGCGAUUCUUGCCAGCCUUCAGGUGGCCCAAUGAAUCGAUUUAAUAAUGAAGACACGAUCAACCAGAGAGCGACUAACAAUGCUGCAGUGUUUGCACAGAGAGAUAAGAUAGACAACUCUCAAACUGGAAACAAGAAUAUUCAAGAUGAAAACCUGUUGUUUCUAAGGAAAAACCGUGUUGAGUUAAUCGACAGGGUAAAAAAUGUCCCUGAAAUCCUCGAUCGCCUCAAAUUAUCCAACGAAAAAGCAGCGAUAGUGCGAGCAGAGAGGACAGAUCAGGAGAGGAUGAGGAAGCUUCUGGAGUUCACGACCAGCACACAUGGUGCAAAGUUUCUAGUCACAGCCUUGUGGAGCUGCGCAAGCGAUGUCAUGGAAGACCUGACCAACACCAACUACAAUGACCUUGUGGUUAUUUCUGAUGACGAGUGUCCUGAAACGUCCACACAAGGCCAACUGAAUCUAAGAUCACGGGAACAUAAACAAGCUAUCCAAAGACCAGUAGCUGUUAUAACACCGCAGUCUAGACCAAUCUUGCAAACUACACAAGUUGAGGACACCCUGACAGUCAGUGAUGAUGAUUCAUGCGCAUCAGAUGUGAGUGAUGCUGACGAAGGACAAGCGGAGGAGGACGUUCCGGAAAAUAACAGAUUAGAAGAGAUCAGCAUCGCAGUGAGAGAAUUCUUAGACAGAAAAGCUGCUUUAUUGGAGAGCUUUGAACAUUUUGAUAAUAUAUCUCAGAAUGCUCCAGGUUGGGUUUGUGUACAAUCAAUGCACAGUACCCUCGAAUCCAUGAAUAGUUGUGCCACAGCGAACAUAAAUUUGCUAAAAAAAAUCAAUGAAAGGUAUGGCACAGAAAUGCCCGAUUUACAUUUCAGUUACAUAUUCCAAAAAAAGGAAAAGUGAAAAUACUCUGACAUCACCUCAUGAUUAAAUAGUCUUUACGUUGGGACACCCAUAUUUAUCUGAUGCAAUCAACCAGCUGAAUGAAAUUUUAGCUCCGUCACACCAGUUCGUUAGUCCGAGCCCUAGUCAGAGUUCCAAUCACAAUGUAACAAAUACACCAGUGAGCCAAUACGAUAUAUUCUAUGAACUCUGCGAAAGUCUGUUAAGAUUACAGAAUAGCCUAAACGAACAUUCUGUACAAUUAAACCCUGAUUUAAUCGAAGCAGUCAACCAGUUGAAUGAAAAUUUGACUAUCUCCUGAACACAACUUCAAUAUCUUCUCAACUCCUGAACUCUCACAGGAACAUAGACCCUUUUAUGUUCAUCUGUUAUACGAACUUAAUGAAAGUCUUAUGAGGUUAAAUGACAGUCUGGUUAACUUAAUCAAACCCCCUGCCAAUAUUCCACAAAAUUUGGGAAAUGAUAAUGAGUACGUCCCUCCAAUGGAAAACAUAUCAUCACCUAAUAUCCACGAUUUGCAAAUGGAAGACAUGCCAUCACCUAAUAUCCAAGAUGGUAAUGGGAUAGAUCCUAAUAUUAGAAUAAUUAAUAAUGACAGAUUCAA
ensembl:lncRNA